GAGGGUAUAGCUCAAGUGGUAGAGCAUAUGCUUAGCAUGCAUGAGGUCCUGGGUUCAAUUCCCGGUACCUCCU
rnacentral:tRNA from 1 species